AGUGGUAUAGCUCAGUGGUAGAGCAGUUGCCUAGCAUGCAUAAGGCCCUGGGUUCAAUCCCCAGCACCACAA